UACGUAGGGUGCAAGCGUUGUCCGGAAUUAUUGGGCGUAAAGAGCUCGUAGGCGGUCUGUUGCGUCGGCUGUGAAAACCUGGGGCUCAACCCUGGGCGUGCGGUCGAUACGGGCAUCACUUGAGUUCGGCAGGGGAGACUGGAAUUCCUGGUGUAGCGGUGAAAUGCGCAGAUAUCAGGAGGAACACCGGUGGCGAAGGCGGGUCUCUGGGCCGAUACUGACGCUGAGGAGCGAAAGCAUGGGUAGCGAACAGG
rnacentral:rRNA from 1 species